CAAUGAUGAUGUCACUGAGUCCACUGCUGCUCACCCUGGGCCUCCUUGUUCACGGUUCAGCAGGAGACAUCGUCCUGACUCAGACUCCUGGAUCUCAGUCUGUAGCUCCAGGACAGACUGUCUCCAUCACUUGUAGAACAAGCUCUGGUGUCAGUGACUACCUCGCCUGGUAUCGUCAGAAACUUGCUGAAGCUCCUAAACGACUGAUUUAUCGCUCUUCAACACGUGCGAGUGGAGUUCCAGAUCGUUUCAGUGGACAAGGAUCAGGGACACAGUUCACUCUGACCAUCAGCGAAGUCCAGCCAGAAGAUGCAGGAGUCUAUUAUUGUCAGCAGUAUGACAGUUACCCGUUCACACAGUGA